rnacentral:rRNA from 1 species
GUCUUCGGACGCUGACGAGUGGCGAACGGGUGAGUAAUACAUCGGAACGUGCCCAGUCGUGGGGGAUAACUACUCGAAAGAGUAGCUAAUACCGCAUACGAUCUGAGGAUGAAAGCGGGGGACCUUCGGGCCUCGCGCGAUUGGAGCGGCCGAUGGCAGAUUAGGUAGUUGGUGGGAUAAAAGCUUACCAAGCCGACGAUCUGUAGCUGGUCUGAGAGGACGACCAGCCACACUGGGACUGAGACACGGCCCAGACUCCUACGGGAGGCAGCAGUGGGGAAUUUUGGACAAUGGGCGAAAGCCUGAUCCAGCAAUGCCGCGUGCAGGAUGAAGGCCUUCGGGUUGUAAACUGCUUUUGUACGGAACGAAAAAGCUUCUCCUAAUACGAGAGGCCCAUGACGGUACCGUAAGAAUAAGCACCGGCUAACUACGUGCCAGCAGCCGCGGUAAUACGUAGGGUGCAAGCGUUAAUCGGAAUUACUGGGCGUAAAGCGUGCGCAGGCGGUUAUGUAAGACAGAUGUGAAAUCCCCGGGCUCAACCUGGGAACUGCAUUUGUGACUGCAUGGCUAGAGUACGGUAGAGGGGGAUGGAAUUCCGCGUG